rnacentral:lncRNA from 1 species
GUGUUAAUGCAUGUUAGAGACUUGGUACAAAGAACCAAGCUACUAAAACAUACCACACACUAAAAUAAAGAUGAGAUAGACCUAUCUCAAUCCAGCUCAUGUUGGUUCACCUGACACAAGGUCAUUGAUGAAUCAACUAGCAUUUGGACAUUAGAGAAAUCAUUGGUUAAUGAAGGAUUGGGAAAUAAUAGGGAUGAAG